CUGACAGUGGCCGUUAAUACACGGGUGCUCUGCCCACUUCCUGUCUCACCCUUAUCCAAAUCUUCUGUGUCUCGCCCCUUUCUCUGAAACUCACACCAAACCUGGGAACUACUACAGAGCCAAAAUACUGCAUGUCAUGGGGAGUAAUGUGGAGGUGUUCUUUGUCGACUUUGGAAACACUUCCAAGGUGCCAUGUAACACUCUCUGGAACUUCCUGCUGACUGGCAAGCUCUGCAUUUCAGGCUCAGGAGUUCAGCGUGGCGUGUUUGGCAUCAUCGGCACAGUCAGUCAAGAAGGAAAUGAAACCUCCCCCACUCCUUCUGGUAGAAGAAAUACCUGAGAGAGAGGAAAAGGACUUUUUUCGUCGAGGGGGACCAUGAAGAGGCGGCUCCAGCUGGCAUCAGAGCGAGAGUGUGGGCGCAAGAGCAGACUUUUGAUAAAGGAGGGUAUUUACAGUGUUUUAACUGCUGUGUUUUUGGCGCUAUUAUUAAUUUGUUAAAAUGUUCAUAUUAUAGUCUAUUUUUAAUUGUUUAUAAAAGUCCUUGCUGUUUUUAAGUGGCUGAAUUAGUGUGUGUGCACGCGUGUGUGCGUGCGUGUUGGUAGCUGGGUGGGUAUAUAGUUCUGGUCUGAAGUUGACAUACCCCUUGCAGGAGAAAGAGACCCUGUGUAAUCUGUUUAAACGACUUUUACGCAUGUUUUGCAGAGAGAUCAUUUUCACCUUGCUGUUUGGGUCUCUGUCCCACACUGUUACAGUGCAGAAUUGAGAGCGCGAGGGAGAUCGAUUUUCUAUCAGAAACAGUAACUAUAUAAAAUGGACGUCAACACACACCACUCUGUGAGGUCAUUUCUCGCUCUCAACAGAGUAGUUGUGAUUGUUCAGUGUUUAC
ensembl:lncRNA